rnacentral:rRNA from 1 species
GAAAGCGUGGGGAGCAAACAGGAUUAAAUACCCUGGUAUUCCACGCCGUAAACAAUGAUUGCUAAUUGUUAGAGGUUUUCCGCCCUUUAUUGCUGCAUCUAACGCUUUAACCUCUCCGCCUGGGGAGUACGGUCGCAAGACUGAAACUCAAAGGAUUUGACGGGAGCCCGCACAAGCGGUGAAUCAUGUGGUUUAUUUCAAAGCACCGCGAAAAACCUUACCAGGUCUUGACUUCCUCUGACAACUCUAGAGAUAGAGCGUUCCCCUUCGAGGGAC